UGGGGAAUUUUGGACAAUGGGCGCAAGCCUGAUCCAGCCAUGCCGCGUGCGGGAAGAAGGCCUUCGGGUUGUAAACCGCUUUUGGCAGGAACGAAACGGUGGCCUCUAACACGGGUCGCUAAUGACGGUACCUGCAGAAUAAGCACCGGCUAACUACGUGCCAGCAGCCGCGGUAAUACGUAGGGUGCAAGCGUUAAUCGGAAUUACUGGGCGUAAAGCGUACGCAGGCGGCUUGGUAAGACAGAUGUGAAAUCCCCGGGCUCAACCUGGGAACUGCAUUUGUGACUGCCUGGCUAGAGUCUGUCAGAGGGGGGUGGAAUUCCACGUGUAGCAGUGAAAUGCGUAGAGAUGUGGAGGAACACCGAUGGCGAAGGCAGCCCCCUGGGAUAAGACUGACGCU
rnacentral:rRNA from 1 species